GUCCACACCGUAAACGUUGGGCGCUAGGUGUGGGAUCCUUUCCACGGGUUCCGUGCCGUAGCUAACGCAUUAAGCGCCCCGCCUGGGGAGUACGGCCGCAAGGCUAAAACUCAAAGGAAUUGACGGGGGCCCGCACAAGCGGCGGAGCAUGCGGAUUAAUUCGAUGCAACGCGAAGAACCUUACCUGGGUUUGACAUGGAGAGUUAACCAUCAGAGAUGGUGGGUCCGUAAGGGUUCUCUGCAGGUGGUGCAUGGCUGUCGU
rnacentral:rRNA from 1 species